rnacentral:rRNA from 8 species
GUUGACCUCGAAUCAGGUAGGACUACCCGCUGAACUUAAGCAUAUCAAUA